CCCCACUACACUGUAAGCUCCUUGGAGGCUGUGGUGGUCUGUUACCUCUUUUUAUCUUCUCAGAAUUUAACAUAGUCCUUGUCAUACAAGAAUUGCUUUCUAAUGUUUGAUUGAUUGAUCAAUCUUGUCAACUGUGAAUUUUAGAUUUUCUCCAUUUUGCUUAGUCUUAGAAAUUCUAGCAACCAGGAAUGUAUAUACCCCACUUAAGCAUUAACUGUGAGGAGGAUGGUCUAUGACUACAUGUGCUAGCAUGUGACAAAUCAGAAACAACUGACAGACCCCCCUGGGCUGUCCUAAGUCAAGCUUAAGCUACCAUUGGUACAUGUGAGAUGCAGGAAGUGAUGUAAAGAAUGGUCUAUAUAUUUCGUGUCAUUUCCUCUCUCACUCUCUCUCAUGGAGACGUUGCUCUCUGUCUUGCUUGUGUGGCUUGUGGUAGCAUGGUUUACGUCUUGGCGGUUUGUUGCUGUAGUAACAGAAUAACCAACCUUUACAAGUCUACUACAAGGGAUAACCAAUGGAAGGAAUGCUAUGGUGAAAGAAUGACCAGAGAGCACAUUGAGGACUCAACAUCAAUUUCCAUUAAAAACAGCUACUCCUCUCCAGUAAGGUCCACAUCACCACCAAUUCAUCCAGUACAACCCAUGGCUCACAGCCAUGGCUUCAUUCUUGGAUUUAGCGGUGCCUCUUGCAAGCAGCUUUGUGAACACAGAUCACUUGCUUGCCUUUUCCCCAAAGAUCAGUGUAAGGGAUGGGAUAAAAGACAAUUAAUUCAAUCGGACAUGGGAAAGGCAUCCUGAUCUGAAACCUAGGGGUCUCUGGCGUUUGUUGGAAGAUUUAUUGCUGUGUGUUUCAAGAUAGCCAGGCUGAGCAUCCCUGAGUAAUUAGGAUUCAAUGCAUUGGCUGAUGGGCAUUGACCUCUCUUUUGUGAGCUCUCUAAAGUGUCUGAGCAGAGAUCCUUCCCCUCCCACCACACCUUUUCAGCAAUAUCCUGGCCGAUACUUUAUGGCAUGUUGCCAUGACAUAAAGCUUGCAUGAACUGCAUUACCGUGCUCCUAGCCCCAGGCUACUGGAAGAAAUUGUAAGCUUUCAAAGUUUAAGCUAAAUAAUAUGCUUUUAAUGAGAUCAUGUGCAUUGCAGAUCAAAAGUAUCAUCAAAAGGUAAAAAGUUCAAAAAGCUCCUUCCAUGCACAGUGAGGUUGUCCAAAGAAGCUUUCAUGAUCUUUGUGAUCAGAUUUCUAAAAGUGUUUUUAAGUCUCCUUUACAAAAUAUUGCAUUGUAGCAAAGGUUUCUCCUUUGAUUUUCAUCAUUCAGGCAUAAGAAACAUUAAGUGUAAUAUCAUGAAUGUAUACUUAUGGGGGUAAGAAGAAUUUGAAAUCCUCUGUUGCCUUCUAUAUGAGAAUCAGAAAGCACUUCAUGAAUGUUACCCAGGCUGCUUGACAACUUGGGGUGCUGUACACCUAAGGAAGCAGCCCAGUAAGAGAGGAAGGCCUCCUACGAAUAGCUGACGAUUGAUAGGGAGGAUGGUUACCGGUAACCAGACAGUGCUGUAUUUGCAGGCAGAAGAUCUAGAUUUGAAUCCCUCAUUUGCCACUUAUUACCUGGAUGCCCUCACUGAGAUUUAUCUGAAAGAUGAAAGGAGUUUGAUUCAGAUGAUCUCUAAGGUCCCUUAUAGCUCUAGACCUACAGGCCUCUGAACAAACCACUCAUGUGAAGGCCACCAGAGCUCUCUGGUGGGACCGUAGGGGAGGUGGCACUGGGACGGAUAAUGGGCCAAGGAGAAGCCAGGUGAGCCAACUAAAGACCAACUUCACUUACUUCAUAGCUUUGCCUAGAGUGUGGAACCUUAGCCCCAACCCUUCUUCAGAAUGCACGUCUAAGGUACUUAACUCUGAAAGGCCAGUAGAUAGUUAAUCCUUCAAACAGCUGGGAUGGAACAUGGGCUGCCUGAAGAGGUAAUACUUUAUCUAUUUCAGUUAAUUAACUAAUUACACUCAGAAGAUUUUGGAUGGUUAAAUUCAAAGAGCCAAAAGGAAUUCAGCAAAAGUAAUCCUUUCCUUCAAGACCUAAGUUUGAAAAUUUAUGAGAUGGCUCAAGUGCCAUAUAGGUAUCUGCAAUAGCAAAUGAAAGGUGAUUUGAGUGGAUCAGUUGCAGGGGUUGCUUAGAGUGCUAGUCUCCAAUUCAGGUGGGCCUAGCUUUACACACUGACUCAGACAUUCACUAGCUCUGGGCUUUGGAAAAAUCACUUUAUCUCCCUGUGAUUUUGUUUCCAUUUCUGCAAAAUAAAAGGAUUGGAUUAGCUGAUCUCUAAGUUCUU
ensembl:lncRNA